GUGAUAGUGAACGACAUCUCAUGACAUGAAUGCCUUGAUUAGCCUUAAAGCCAAACAGUGCGGUUUAUACAUGCGGCUGCUGGCUG
rnacentral:lncRNA from 1 species